GCGGAUAUUGUCCGCUGGAAUGUAACCUUUAAGGUUGAACCGUAAA
rnacentral:ncRNA from 1 species